rnacentral:rRNA from 1 species
UACAGAGGGUGCGAGCGUUGUUCGGAAUUAUUGGGCGUAAAGCGCUUGUAGGCGGCUUGUUAAGUUCCGUGUGAAAUCCCCAGGCUUAACCUGGGAAGUGCGCGGAAAACUGGCGAGCUUGAGUGCCGGAGAGGGUCGCGGAAUUCCCGGUGUAGAGGUGAAAUUCGUAGAUAUCGGAAGGAACACCUGUGGCGAAAGCGGCUCACUGGACCAUAACUGACGCUGAGGCGCGAAAGCUAGGGGAGCAAACAGG